rnacentral:rRNA from 1 species
GACGAACGCUGGCGGCGUGCUUAACACAUGCAAGUCGAACGGAAAGGCCCUGCUUUUGUGGGGUGCUCGAGUGGCGAACGGGUGAGUAACACGUGAGUAACCUGCCCUUGACUUUGGGAUAACUUCAGGAAACUGGGGCUACUACCGGACAGGAGCUCCUGCUGCAUGGUGGGGGGUGGAAAUUUUCGGCGGGUGGGGAUGGACUCGCGGCUUAUAGGCUUGUUGGUGGGGUGGUGGCUUACCAAGGCAUGCGCGGGUAGACGGCCUGAGAGGGUGACCGGCCACAUUGGGUCUGAGGUAAGGCACAGACUCCGAAGGGUGGACGAAGUGGGGAAUCCUGAACCAUGGGCGGAAGCCUGAUGCAGCAACGCCGCGUGCUGGAUGACGGCCUUCGGGUUGUAAAACGCCUUCGCCUGUGACGAAGCAUGAGCUACCGUAAUGGGUAAAGAAGCACCGGCUAACCUCCGUC